GGCCAGUGAUGUGAGAAAAUAUUUGCUACUCUUGAUGGGAUUCAUAGCAUAUCCCCAGCUGAUGAUUCCUAUCCACCAAGAUCUCUGAGGCC